CAAAGGAGCACAAUUCGUGCCCAUGGGAAUUCCAACAGACUGUUGGAAGACCUGAUCACCAAAUACCACGAAGAUAUUGUCAAUGAGGAACUCUAGCAUAUUUUUUAUUUCAACUUCAGAGUACUUAUGCGUGGAAUCAGAGUGGUGUUUAACAAAUAGAUCAUCUGAACUUUGGUGGAUCUUGUGAAGCACGGUUCCUGUCGGUGAGCGGAUUGCAGUAUACUUAUGUUGAAUGUGACCUCCAUGCUCUCUCUCCACUGCUUCAUAUGACCACGCGUCAUCAUCCGAUUUCUUCCAGAUUGGACAUUAUUUAAAGGAGAUCAUGUGGUCCCAUUGGCAGUUUUUGCAGUUCAUUGUGACAACUUUUUCCAUCACACCCUCCUCACCACACCGGAAGCAGGCUCCGGGGCCUUCACAAUGUUUGGAUAUGACCAAAUCACUGACAUUUAAAGCAACGCAGCAGAAUUUGUACAAACAUUUCUAUUUUCAUUUGAUAAAACCUAUGUAACUCUGA